rnacentral:rRNA from 1 species
CAAUAGCGUAUAUUAAAGUUGUUGCAGUUAAAAGCUCGUAGUUGGAUUUCGGAGUGGGCCAGUUGGUCCGCCGCAAGGUGUGUUACAGACUGGUUUGCUCUUCUUCGCAAAGACUGCGUGUGCCUCAUUGAGUGAGUGUGCGUUAGAAUUUAUCGACGUUUUACAAUUUGAAAAAUUAGAGUGUUCAAAGCAGGCUAUUGCUUGAAUACAUGAGCAUGGAAUAAUGGAAUAGGACUUUGGUCCCAUUUUGUUGGUUUCUAUGGGCCGAAGUAAUGAUUAAGAGGGACAAUUGGGGCAUCCGGUAUUUCGUUGUCAGAGGUGAAAUUCUUGGAUUUACGAAAGACGAACAACUGCGAAAGCACUUGCCAAGAGUGUUUUCAUUAA